UCUGUUUUCAUAUGGUUUCCGUAUUGGCAAAAAAAAAAAAAAAAAAAACAAAGCGAAAAGUUACCUUGCUAAUUCCCUUGCUAGCAAGGUAAUAUAAUUUAGCACAUGUUCAUGAGAAAAUUGUCUAAGAAAAUUUGUUCCCUGCUAGUUAUUUUCAAGGCUGUGAUAGUAACAUUCUGCUCUUUAAAAGUUACACAUUAGGUGAUAUGAUUACAUUACAGGAUUUUUUUUUGUAGGGCUGACUAUUCAGCAUUGUUAGAUAAGAAAAAAUUUUGAGUGAAAGAUAAAUGUGAGAAAAGAUGCUUCUAAUUGAACAAAUGCUUUUUUUUUUUUUUUUUUUUUUUUAAGGGCUUGGAUGUACUUCUGAAAGAGGUACAAGCUUUAGAGGGGAAAUUAUUUCAUUAAAACCGUGAUUUUACAUUAAAAGAAACACGUAUUCUCUGACACUUUAUUUCAAAUUCCUUAGCCCUUGGAAAGAGCCCACAUUUGAAGGCGGGUCCAAGGCGUGCCAGAACAGUCUCCUCCCUCCACCCCCUUCCUCCUUUCCCAAGCGCAGAGGUCCCCUCCUCUGCAGACAACAGCUGCUAGAUCCGAACGGGAGGAGUGCUUUUUGCAUUCCUGGCUGCCUGCUUGGGCUGCUGAAGGGGCUGCUGCCUUCUACCAGGAGAAGAAAAGGAUCUCAAAUCUUCCGGAUCACUUCCUCUCGUAGGAAACUAUUGAGCACAGGAAUAAAGAUGGCUGCUGAACCAGAAGACAAUUGCAUCAGCUUUGUGGAAAUGAAGUUUAUUAACAAUACACUUUACUUUGUAGCUGAAAACGAUGGUAAAGUAUAAAUUUAUUGAUUUCUCUUUCUCUAACAAAUAAAUAGCGACUUGAAUAAGCACCCCACAGGCACAUCCAUAUCAGCAUUCUCAUCUGAGAGAAACGGGUACCAAUCUAUUUAGAAGCUAAUAUUCCCUCUGGAUGUGACUCAGUAGCACUGCUUUGGAAUAAAGAUGACCAUAAGGGAUACAAAAAAGAAUUUCUAAUAAAAUAUGCUUUUCUACACCUUAGGAAUUUCUCAGGUAUUAGAAUCUACAAAAUUGACGCUGCCUGCCUGUUAUAUAGACCCUGAGGUUAGCAAAAAGUCAUGGAUUCUCUUGGGUACAUAGAAAAAGGGGAUUGAACCAUGAGAAUUGUUGUCCCAAAUCAGGAACAUCUUUCUUCAACCCUCAUCUCAGAAAUGCUCUGGGAAGAAGCUGGGAGACACCCAAGGUGCAGAGAAUUCUGGAUGGGCAGGUAGAGGAAACAUACCUAUAAGGUUGAGUCAUGAACUCUUCUUAAGUGUAUGUAGCUACACCUUGUCCUGGCAUUCAAGGAGGAUUGUAACCAUAUAUAGCCUGUGAUCCUCUAACAGACCCCUAGUUUGUUUGUUUUUUCUUUGUUUUUUUAGGGGUUUUUUUAGGGCCGCACUUGUGGCACAUGGAGGUUCCCAGGCUAGAGGUCUAGUCGGAGCUACACCUGCCAGACUAUGCCACAGCCACAGCAACACUGGAUCCUUAGCCCACUGAGCGAGGCCAGGGAUCAAACCUGCAUCUUCAUGAAUACUAGUCAGACUCAUUUCUGCUUAGCCAGAACGGAAACUCCCUCAUCAUGUUUCUUAAACAUUUAUUUAAUUCAGUAAAUGUGGGCAUCUGUAGUUCCGGCACUAUGAUAAGCAUUAUCAUACAAUGGUGAACAAAAAAUACUUCCUAUAAGAGAGAAGCAGGCACAUUAGGAAGGCAGCUGGAAUGUGGCAAGUUAAGUUUUGGAAAGGCCCAGGAUGCUAUGGGAGUAUAUAGUAGGGCACUUAAUUUAGCCAAUAGAUUCUGGGAGGAUAUUUUUAAGGAGGGACAGAAUUGAAGAGCAAAUAGGAAUUUAAGAAAAGGUAUUCUGGCCAGAGAGAAGAAAACAUGCAAAAAUCAAGAUAGGAAAGAAAGCAUGGCAUAAAUAAGGAAUUGAGAGUAAUUCACAAUGAGAGUAGAUUGGGAGUAGGAAAAUGAUGAGAGAAGAAUGAUAAAUGGGGUGCAGAUCAAGAAGAUUCUCUUAUUCCAAGAUAUGGAAUCUGGACCUUAUCUUUAGAGUAGUGGGGAUUCCUUAAGCACAAUAUGUAUGAUCUAGGAAGGAUUAGUUUGCUGUAACAAAGAGAUCCAAAGACUAGGAUUUCCCAUCGUGGCUCAGCAGUAAUGAACCUGACUGGUAGCCAUGAGGAUUCAGUUUCAAUCCCUGGCCUUGCUCAGUGGGUUAAGGAUCUGGCAUUGCUGUGAGCUGUGGCGUACAUCAGACACAGCUUGGAUGCCGCAUUGCUGUAGCUGUGGCUGUGGCAUAGGCUGGCAGCUGCAGCUCCAAUUUGACCCCUAGUCUGGCACCUUCCAUAUGCCACAGGUGUAGCCCUAAAAAGAAAAAAAAGAGAGAAAAAGAAAAAUUUUAAAUAAAAAUUAAAAAUCUAAAAAGAGAAUUGAUAUGGGGGCAAAAAAGAAGGGAUACUAAUUAAGAGGCUAUUGUUGUUGUCCCUAAAAGAAAUGAUGGUGGCAUGAGUUAAGGGAGGCAUAGUGGAGUGCCACUAAAGAGCUGUGAGUGGACUUUAGAAAUACUUGGAAGAAUCAACAGGACAUGGAUUUGGAAGAGGAUAGAAAGAAAGAGAAGAGAUUAUACCUACAUUUUUUUCACGUACGCAAUUUGUACCAUUCAACAAAAUAAGGAACACAGCAGGAAGAACAGAGUAAAGAGGUUUGCAGGGCAAAGAGGAAGAUAGAUGAUGAUAAUUUUGGAUCUUGUCUAUGGGACAUCUCAGUGGAGAUGUCCAGUAGAUUAUUGGACAGACGGUUCUGAACUCAGGAAAAAAA
rnacentral:lncRNA from 1 species